AUUAGUGAUUAAAAUAUUCCCCCAAAAUUUCAUUCCCUCUCUUGCCGCCUUCAAUCUUCUUUGCCUCCAAAAAAUAUUCCCCCAAAAUUAUUCAAUUCCCUCCCUUUGAGAGAGUUGCUUAAUACCCUCCUUUUGAGAGAGUUGCUUAAUCCGCCCAAAUCUAAUUUCUCCAAUUGAUGCACAGUAUAUUGAUCAUCAAGAAAUUUCGGCUUCAUCUACAGAUUUUUGUGAUAUUCUUCAAUUGAUGCCCUCUUUGCAAUAAGCUCUUCCGCGCCCACAUACGUACGAACUUCGAGCUAGAUUUAAAAGACUCGAGAUUGACAAAUUAUAUAAAUAGACUAUAUAAUGGGAGGUAUAGAGAGUUUAAGGUUGAGUUGAGUGCAUACUAAAAGUUGCAAAAGACACAUGAGAAUGCAUUAGCCAAUCCCAUUUGGAGAUGCUCGAUAGACGUGUAAAUCAGUGGGUGGACCUAUGAAAUCACUUGAACUCCAAUAAGUUCAAGAAAGCAUCAUCAGCAAACAUAGUGAAUCGAUCAAAGAAGUACAAUCAUCGUACUGGUUCACGUUCUUUAGAUGUAACUAUAUUUGGUGAAUGUCAUUUAUUCGCUUCAUGUGUAGAAGUAACUUUAGUAGACGAAUUAUUUUGUCGGAGGAAAACUUACGCGACGAAUUGUAUUUGUCUCCAAAGGAUUCGUAAGAAAAAAUCUUAGCCCACAAAUUUCAAAAAUUUGUUGUCUCA